UCAUUCUCAAUUUUAGAAUUGGACGCCAUCUCCCCAUCACCCACCCCAAUCGGAAUUCUCUCCCAUAACCUCUAUCGAUCGUUUCCUUUGCUCGAUCCCAAUCCGCCAUACCCCAAACGGAAGGUCGUCUCCUCCCAUCGAUUUCUACCAUUUUACCACUGAUGGACCGCGGCAGAGUGACCGACGAACCACCACUGCACCAUUAGAUGAUCUAUCAUAACUGCUUGGUUCCUUAUUGCUCGACUCCUCAUCGCUUCAAUCAUAACUUCAUCCCUGAGCAGGAUGUGAAACAUCAUUUUCUGGAACAGGCAUUGGUACACUGCUAGACAAGUGAAAUUCCAAAGCCACUUGGUUGCAUUUUUUUUUAAAUGAGAUGAUUGUUGUGUUUUAGUAAUAAUGUAAAUGUCACAACUCCCAGACGUAUGAUGAACCCAAAUAGGUCAAAAUGUCUAGGCAAAACAUCUUUUGUUGUGCUCAACAGUUAAUAUUAAAGAGACCAGAUCAUAUGUUAGUUAACUUAUAUAGAUUAUUAUUGAGCGCGACCGUGUUCAAGUUCCUGUUGUUGGUGACUCGGGUAAUAACAUGUUGUACGCUUCUUUGAUAUUCAUGUUAAAUACUCAAAAUAAAUGCAUUAUGGCUCAUAUGUUAAGGUUCU
rnacentral:lncRNA from 1 species